AAUAAUAAAAACAAGGGAAUGUUUGUUCUUUAUCCUAAUUAAUGAAGAAUCAUAAAUGGCAUCAUUUUUAUGCAAGCUUUCCACUUGAAAGCAAAAGAAAAUCCAUAGCAAAUGACCAUAUUCAUCCUAAGGAUAUUUGGAAUAUCAAAUUUACAAUAUUAGCACUUGAAAUCUGUGUAUCACAUUAACAAGCUGUACCUGGAAAGCACAGACCUCUGCACCAGUGUACAAACCUGCCUGGACCUGACAGAAGUGCACAGAGCAGCAAAAGGGAGGAAAUGUGAACAUGCAGGGCCGCAGCUGGAUUCUGCAGCACCAUCCCGUGACCUGUUACUGAAGCUGAAGUAACAACUCGGUCUUCAGCUUGUACAGGCAGAAGGCCAACUUGAAACAGAUUUGAAAGUUCUGUCUCACCCCAAAGAAUACAAGCAAUAGACUGUUCUAGAAACCGCUUGCCUAUUUUACCAUGAAGCCAUCUCUGUCAAGCAGAGAAAGGCAGCAAACCUGCCUGGGAUGAAAUAUAGGCACAUUCCCUUGAGGCCUGCAUUUUUCCAGAGGGCAAUUGAAACAAAAGACAAGGUGAAAAACUCACCUUCAUUCUGCACAGUUUGCUGCACUCUUUGUGGGAAGAGGCUCACUUGUAAAACAUUGGUAAUGUAGAGGGAAAAAUAAAACAGACAGACAGAUGGAAGCUCUUGUAGUUGCUGUUAUGAAUUCCUUACCAUUAUGGUGACAUUCAAAACAAUCAGAAUGAAGAAAGGCCAUUGCCUUCCAAAGGUAAAAAUUACACAUCGUAAUAGCUAAAUGCAUGGAUGCAAGUUCUUGCUUAAUUACUA